rnacentral:rRNA from 1 species
GACGACGCUGGCGGCGUGCCUAACACAUGCAAGUCGAGCGAGUGAAUCUCCUUCGGGAGUGAAGCUAGCGGCGGACGGGUGAGUAACACGUGGGCAACCUGCCUCAUAGAGGGGAAUAGCCUUUCGAAAGGAAGAUUAAUACCGCAUAAGAUUGUAGCUUCGCAUGAAGUAGCAAUUAAAGGAGCAAUCCGCUAUGAGAUGGGCCCGCGGCGCAUUAGCUAGUUGGUGAGGUAACGGCUCACCAAGGCGACGAUGCGUAGCCGACCUGAGAGGGUGAUCGGCCACAUUGGGACUGAGACACGGCCCAGACUCCUACGGGAGGCAGCAGUGGGGAAUAUUGCACAAUGGGGGAAACCCUGAUGCAGCAACGCCGCGUGAGUGAUGACGGCCUUCGGGUUGUAAAGCUCUGUCUUCAGGGACGAUAAUGACGGUACUUGAGGAGGAAGCCCCGGCUAACUACGUG